UUUUGACCUCGGAUCACGCAGGGAUACCCCGCUGAACU
rnacentral:rRNA from 1 species